rnacentral:lncRNA from 1 species
UGACAGGUGAUUUGAUCUGGAUUAUACAUGUAUUAUCCUACAAAACAUGUUUCCAUAUUAUUAAUUUUCAUAUGUGAGUAAUCUUAUAAAACCAAAAUUCCAAAUCAUAUGCCCAAAUAAAAAAUCAAACAACACAUGCUUUCCUCUGCAUCCCAAUUCCAACAAUUCUUUCUCUGGAGGUGGAUAGAAUUCUUUGUCAGAAGUCCCUAAGAAUUGUCCUGGAUCAUUAUAUUGCCAAUAAUAUUAGCUCUGACAUUCUGUGUUCUGGGCCGCCCCCACCAACCUCUGACAUUCUCUAUUCUAACUCCUCUCCUUCCCCUACCACAUUCUCUGUUCUAGAGCCCCUUCUAUCUCUGGCAUUCUGUGUUCUAGGAUCCCUUCUGUCUCUGGCACUGUGUAUUCUAGAGUCUUUUCCAUCUCUGGCACUGUGUGUUCUAGGGUCCCUUCCUUCUCUGGCACUGUGUGUUCUAGGAUCCCUUCUGUCUGGCACUGUGUAUUCUAGAGUCUUUUUCAUCUCUGGCACUGUGUGUUCUAGGGUCCCUUCCUUCUCUGGCACUGUGUGUUCUAGAGUCCUUCCUGUCUCUGGCACUGUGUGUUCUAGGGUCCCUUCCUUCUCUGGCACGGUGUGUUCUAGAGUCCUUCCUGUCUCUGGCACUGUGUGUUCUAGGGUCCCUUCCUUCUCUGGCACUGUGUGUUCUAGAGUCCUUCCUGUCUCUGGCCCUGUGUGUUCUAGGGUCCUUUCCAUCUCUGGCACUGUGUGUUCUAGGGUCCCUUCCUUCUCUGGCACUGUGUGUUCUAGAGUCCUUCCUGUCUCUGGCACGGUGUGUUCUAGGGUCCCUUCCUUCUCUGGCACUGUGUGUUCUAGAGUCCUUCCUGUCUCUGGCACGGUGUGUUCUAGGGUCCCUUCCUUCUCUGGCACCGUGUGUUCUAGGGUCCUUUCCGUCUCUGGCACGGUGUGUUCUAGGGUCCUUUCCGUCUCUGGCACUGUGUGUUCUAGAGUCCUUCCUGUCUCUGGCACUGUGUAUUCUAGAGUUUUUUCCAUCUCUGGCACUGUGUGUUCUAGGGUCCUUUCCGUCUCUGGCACUGUGUGUUCUAGGGUCCCUUCCUUCUCUGGCACUGUGUGUUCUAGAGUCCUUCCUGUCUCUG